GCCAAUUAUCCCAUCUUUGACAGGAGGAAUGGAGGGAAGAGGAGAGAGCAUUUGCAUUCAGGAGGAUCAAAAAUGUACAUAUUGGUUGGAGUGAGCUUCGGCCUGCUGUGCAUCGUACAGUCCACUCUCAAUGUUUGUCUUCGGCUGCAGGCUGUUGGGUUUUUUAACAGGUCCGACAAUAUCCCGACUAGCAAUUUCAUCCCGAAGUCAGAUGACAUCCAAGCCCUGAUUUUAGAGAGGGAUCAACUGCUUCAGGUUGUAGACCAUCUGAAUGAAGAUAAAAACCAACUGGUUCAAGAGAAAAACAAACUGGCAAAACUAAAGGAAGAGCUACAGGUCACUAACAGGGACCUGACUGAAGAAAUGAACAUGUUAAAAGAGAAAGU